CAGUAGCGUAUACUAACGUUGUUGCAGUUAAAAAGCUCGUAGUUGGAUUUCUGGCUUGACGUCGCGUCUCGGCUUCUCGAAAGUUUGAUGACAGCGAAACGUCGAGUCAUCCUGUCACAAACUCUUUCUGGCUUUAGUUAGUCGGACUGAGGGAGUGGCUCGUUUACUUUGAGAAAAUUAGAGUGUUCAAAGCAGGCAUCUUUGCCAUGAAUACGUUAGCAUGGAAUAAUAAGAUAGGACUCUGAUUCUAUUUUGUUGGUUGUUGAGUCGGAGUAAUGAUUGAUAGGGACAGUUGGGGCCAUUCGUAUUCAAAAGCGAGAGGUGAAAUUCUUGGACCUUUUGAAGACGAACAGCUGCGAAAGCGUUUGGCAAGGAUGUUCCCUUUAA
rnacentral:rRNA from 1 species